UUAAAUUGAAGAGUUUGAUCAUGGCUCAGAUUGAACGCUGGCGGCAGGCCUAACACAUGCAAGUCGAGCGGAAACGAGUUAUCUGAACCUUCGGGGAACGAUAACGGCGUCGAGCGGCGGACGGGUGAGUAAUGCCUAGGAAAUUGCCCUGAUGGUGGGGGAAAACC
rnacentral:rRNA from 1 species